UCUUCCACCAGACUAGAACCACUAGCCCACCACCUCUGGUUA
rnacentral:sRNA from 1 species